rnacentral:rRNA from 1 species
GUCGAACGGAAUGCUUCGGCAUUCAGUGGCGAACGGGUGAGUAACACGUGGGAACCUACCCUGAGGUGGGGAAUAACUGCUGGAAACGGCAGCUAAUACCGCAUACGUCCCGAGGGGCAAAGGCUUCGGCCGCCUUGGGAGGGGCCCGCGUCCGAUUAGCUUGUUGGUGGGGUAAUGGCCUACCAAGGCGACGAUCGGUAGCUGGUCUGAGAGGAUGAUCAGCCACACUGGGACUGAGACACGGCCCAGACUCCUACGGGAGGCAGCAGUGGGGAAUAUUGGACAAUGGGGGAAACCCUGAUCCAGCAAUGCCGCGUGAGUGAAGAAGGCCUUAAGGUUGUAAAGCUCUUUCGCCUGUGAAGAUGAUGACGGUAGCAGGAGAAGAAGCCCCGGCUAAUUCCGUGCCAGCAGCCGCGGUAAUACGGAAGGGGCUAGCGUUGUUCGGAAUGACUGGGCGUAAAGCGCGCGUAGGUGGCUGUUCA